AUGAUGAUUAUUGCGGCAAUAUGUUGGGGUAUCUGGUGUCUCCGCAACAAAGUUACCUUUGAUAAAUAUGUAGCUCGCACUCCCCUGGAGGCUGUUUUCACUGCCUGCUUGUUUAUGUUGUAUUGGGCAGGGUUGCUUAAAGCCGAAGACAAGGCGAAAUUCCAAGCUGGAGUGAAGAGGUUGGCUCACGUGGCUGCUAUGUUGGCGGACAGGCCCUUCACUCGCGACAGGCUUCUCUUGGAUGACAGGGAUGGGAUCCAGAUUGGCUAG
rnacentral:rRNA from 1 species